rnacentral:rRNA from 1 species
AGAAUCAACGCUGGCGGCGUGCCUAACACAUGCAAGUCGCACGAGAAAGGGGGAGCAAUCCCUGAGUACAGUGGCGCACGGGUGAGUAACACGUGAAUAAUCUACCUCCGAGUGGGGAAUAACUGAGAGAAAUCUUAGCUAAUACCGCAUAACACUUACGAGUCAAAGCAGCAAUGCGCUUGGAGAGGAGUUCGCGGCAGAUUAGUUAGUUGGCGGGGUAAUGGCCCACCAAGACGAUGAUCUGUA